AUUGAACGCUGGCGGCAGGCCUAACACAUGCAAGUCGAACGAGUGGCGGACGGGUGAGUAAUGUCUGGGAAACUGCCUGAUGGAGGGGGAUAACUACUGGAAACGGUAGCUAAUACCGCAUACCAUCAGAUGUGCCCAGAUGGGAGUAGCUUGUUGGUGGGGUAACGGCUCACCAAGGCGACGAUCCCUAGCUGGGCUGAGAGGAUGACCGUCCAGUAUGUAACUGAUACAAGGUCCAGACUCCUACGGGAGGCAGCAGUGUUGAAUAUUGCACAAUGGGCGCAAUUCUGAUGCAGCCAUGCCGCGUGUAGGAAGAAGGCCUUCGGGUUGUAAAGUACUUUCAGCGGGGAGGCGUUACCCGCAGAAGAAGCACCGGCUAACUCCGUGCCAGCAGCCGCGGUAAUUC
rnacentral:rRNA from 1 species